AGAGUUUGAUCCUGGCUCAGGACGAACGCUGCGGCACGCUUAACACAUGCAAGUCGAACGUGAAGCUCCGAGCUUGCUCGGGGUGGAAAGUGGCGAACGGGUGAGUAACACGUGAGGAACCUGCCCCGAAGACCGGGAUAACACCGGGAAACCGGUGCUAAUACCGGAUGUCCUCACCGGACCGCAUGAUUCGGUGAGGAAAUGGAUUCCGCUUCGGGAUGGUCUCGCGGCCUAUCAGCUUGUUGUGGGGGUAACGGCCCACCAAGGCUUCGACGGGUAGCUGGUCUGAGAGGAUGUCCAGCCACACUGGGACUGAGACACGGCCCAGACUCCUACGGGAGGCAGCAGUGGGGAAUCUUGCGCAAUGGGCGAAAGCCUGACGCAGCGAUGCCGCGUGCGGGAUGAAGGCCUUCGGGUUGUAAACCGCUUUCAGCAGGGACGAAAUUGACGGUACCUGCAGAAGAAGCCCCGGCCAACUACGUG
rnacentral:rRNA from 1 species